UUGACGCAACCAGAAAAAUACUGGAACAAAAGAAACAACUUCCUUGAAGCUUUGCUGAAACUGCACUUGGUGUGGAGAAUGGAAGCUUGUUGUCAACUUGGGCUGGAUGGAGAGAAAAAAAAAAAAACGUCGAGGUGAGGAGGGUGUCACCGGUGGCCGGCGGAGCAGCAGCAGCCGAGAGAGAGAGAGAGAGAGAGAGAGAGAUGCAGGCGAGCCACUCCGGAACGCAACCCAGGGCAAACCGAGUGGGGAACCUCUUUGCCCUAUAGGAGCCAACAGAAGUCUGCACAAGAUGCUGCUGACCUUAAGUGUAUUAAAGUCUGUGCCCAUUUGGUUGGACCAGAAGUCUGCAGGACAAGGAAAGUGCAAUUUAAAAACAGGAGGAUAAGAGUGGGAAGCAGAAGGACCCAUGGAUGCAGUUCUGGCAAUGCUGUAGCAGCACGGAAUGGUUUGUGGGUUACACUGAGAUGCAGGCCAUACUGUGCUGCCGCAAUAAAGCCUGAAAACACAACCUGGCUGUCCCAUCCGCACAGCUUUACCUGUUGCCUUUUUUCACAGAUUGUAUACUUAACUAAGACUUUUGUAAUUCAUUCUCCUGAGUACUGCCAUCUUCAUUAUUGUUCUUCUGAUACUGAAAACUAAGCUGAGUUCGCCUCUCAUCUGCUGGUCGCCUUACUGUAGCAGCACGUAAAUAUUGGAGUUAAGACUCUAGCUGAAGCCUCCAGUAUUGAUCGUGCUGCUGAAGCAAAGCUGACCACUCACAGUCAGAGCAAUCCAACCACUCGGUGAACUCCAGGGAUGCUUACAGGUACAUUGAUUACACAGAUUUAGGUAACCUCUAAGACGGUCUUGAUAUAAAAAAUGUUAAUUUCUACACACCAUCUGUUUACAUGUCUGCACACUUGAAAUAAAGAAAAUAAAUGAAUUG